AGUCGAACGAUGAUGCCCAGCUUGCUGGGUGGAUUAGUGGCGAACGGGUGAGUAACACGUGAGUAACCUGCCCUUGACUUCGGGAUAACUCCGGGAAACCGGGGCUAAUACCGGAUAUGAGCCGCCUUCGCAUGGGGGUGGUUGGAAAGUUUUUCGGUCAGGGAUGGGCUCGCGGCCUAUCAGCUUGUUGGUGGGGUGAUGGCCUACCAAGGCGACGACGGGUAGCCGGCCUGAGAGGGCGACCGGCCACACUGGGACUGAGACACGGCCCAGACUCCUACGGGAGGCAGCAGUGGGGAAUAUUGCACAAUGGGCGAAAGCCUGAUGCAGCGACGCCGCGUGAGGGAUGAAGGCCUUCGGGUUGUAAACCUCUUUCAGCAGGGAAGAAGCGCAAGUGACGGUACCUGCAGAAGAAGCGCCGGCUAACUACGUGCCAGCAGCCGCGGUAAUACGUAGGGCGCAAGCGUUGUCCGGAAUUAUUGGGCGUAAAGAGCUCGUAGGCGGUUUGUCGCGUCUGGUGUGAAAACUCGAGGCUCAACUUCGAGCUUGCAUCGGGUACGGGCAGACUAGAGUGCGGUAGGGGAGACUGGAAUUCCUGGUGUAGCGGUGGAAUGCGCAGAUAUCAGGAGGAACACCGAUGGCGAAGGCAGGUCUCUGGGCCGCAACUGACGCUGAGGAGCGAAAGCAUGGGGAGCGAACAGGAUUAGAUACCCUGGUAGUCCAUGCCGUAAACGUUGGGCACUAGGUGUGGGGCUCAUUCCACGAGUUCCGUGCCGCAGCAAACGCAUUAAGUGCCCCGCCUGGGGAGUACGGCCGCAAGGCUAAAACUCAAAGGAAUUGACGGGGGCCCGCACAAGCGGCGGAACAUGCGGAUUAAUUCGAUGCAACGCGAAGAACCUUACCAAGGCUUGACAUGCACGAA
rnacentral:rRNA from 1 species